AGAUCUAUUGAGGGGGAUUUGGAGAUGUUGUCUCAAGCAGAAAAGAAGGAAGUGAGAAGUUGCUUGGACAAAUUGUACCUACAUUUUGUUUGCUUUCAGGUUUAAAUUUCUGAUCCAUAGUAGUGGUGGUAACAUGUAGAUCAUUACCAUGUAGAUGUAGUUAACUCUGUAUCAGGAGCUUACACCUAAAGUUGUUUGUAAUUCCUAGAUGUAGUUAACUCUGCAUCUCCAUAUCAUUGUUUCCACCUAAAGUUUACAAGGAAGCUUGCCACCUAAACCAUCAUUUCUAUGUUGAGUUGCCGGCUGUCAUGAGAUUUCCGUUGCAUGUAUCCUUCUAAACCAAUCAGGACCAUGGUCAUUUGCAUGAGGUCCUCUCCUUGAUGUAAAUUGCAAAAUCCUUUAGUUUUUUCAGUUUCUGUUCUUCCAUUUAAAGUUGUUGCCUCAUCUAUCUCCUUUGAGGAGGACACAAGGCCUGCAAGUAAUAUUUUCCAAAUUUUUUAUUAUUUAUGAUUGCUAAUAACCUUAUUUCUCUACAGUAUAUUCUAACUAGCUAGGCACAGGCAUAAGGAUGAGUCAUUUGUUAAAAUUAUUGCUUUCAUUAAUGCAUAAUUGGGAUCUGCAAAAUAUUGGUAUUUGUUCAUAAAUCACUUUGUAUCACUCAAAUUAUUUGGUUGCCCUUAGUUCAUGAACCAUCCUCAUUGGUCACUGCACUGUUAGGCCCUUACGUUCAUGCAUCUGCAUAAAGCUUUCAUGGUAACAUUCUGGAUAUAAUCUGGUUGCAUAAGCUCUACUUAUAUCUGCCUUUCUUCUAUAAUCUUGUUGAUUUUGCAGAUUAAUGCCAGUUUUCAAGUUUUCAUAUGUUGUCAAGAAAGAAAGAAUUUUCUUACAUUCACAAGGCCAUACCUAAAUGGCUUGGUUCAGUGUGUUGGUUUCAUAUAUUGUAUUAACUAUGGCAUGUCAAUAGUGGUGCUCCCAAUGAUGAGCUGCCUAGCCAAAUGGAGGGUGGGGCACAGAGAGAGCCACAGAGAGCAUUGCCCGAACCAUGAA
rnacentral:lncRNA from 1 species